GGUACUGCAGUUACUUUUUUCUUCCGUGUCAUUUAGAAACAACUCUUGCCAGGAAUAGUUUGUGAAGCUAAUUGAACACUAUUCUUAUAAUGCUACAGUGGUUUCUGACUCUGAAACUUCAGGUAAUAUAAUUAACCAUAGUACUAUUAUAAUUCCUAAAACUGUAUAAUGAAAAACAACAUGAAGAAUUACUGCAAUGAUUUUUAUUGCAAACAUUUUGAAUACAGAUUAAUCAGACCCACUGUUGAAGCUGGAGGUAAAGAGACUGGACAGGCCAUUUCUUGUAUCUGAAAAUGCCCUUGAAAAGAAUUAUUGCUUCCUAGUUUUUUCCUUGCCGGAGGUUCCAUUCUCUGUUUUGCCAGUAUUUUGAUCGUAGACACUCCCUGAAAAAUAAUAAAGAUGUUAUUGUCUCAAAUGGAGUUCCUUUGGAUAUUUAACAUACAUUCCUAAUUUUGGUACCUAUAAUUCAGUAAAAUUUAUAUUUUCCUUAAGUUUGUGAUGUAUGAAGGUUUUGAUGCAUGGUCCUUUUUCAUGUCUACCUUCUUCGAAUGCUAGAUAAGAAUUAUUUUCAGAGUGGGUAGAAUUGCACAAAAAUAAAUGUGGCAGUAUUACAAUACUGUCUAGCAAGCCAACUACAAGUAAUGAUUCAACAAGAUAUUAGACAAAAUUGUAAAAGUGAUAUAAAUAAAUUAAGAACGAAUUGAAUUAAAUGGUUGACACUCUGUUUUAUACUGUUUUUAAACUGGUUUUCAUUGUCCAGGUGCAGCAACGGGUCCAACGGCAGAGGAAGGUGAAGAUAGAAUUGAAGACCACUCAGACUCAUUUCUGACUACAAAAAAGGUCUACAGUUUCAUCGGAGUUAACUAGAUGAGAUUUGCUACUUUACCAGAUGGUUAUGAAGUCCCACACAGUUCUGAUUUUAAUUUCUGUGCUGUUGACCAACCUGGGAGUGUGAGUCUGUAUUUUAUCACACCGAUCCGAGAAUCAUGGCAACCAAGCUUGAUCCGUCUCGGGAUCCGACAGUCAACUACAUCAUGUUGUAUUCGACCACGUCGGAUAACGGAUCGGAUCUCGCGUUAUUGGAUUUGGGAUGUGUACGUGAAGACUUCUACCUCCUCUUCAGUUUUAACAUGUAAGAUGCAUAGGCAGAGCUAUCAUAUUUAAGUUAUUGAACAUUUUUACCACCAGAGUGCCCCCGACUUUACAGAAAACAAGUACGAAUCGUUAGGAUAGCACUGUUUUUUCCUUGCAGUCUAAGAUGUGCAUGCUCUUUUACUGCAGAAACCAAACAUGGUGAAUUAGAUAACUUUUAUUGCUGUUGUUCAUGGCUUUCUACUAGAUUUGCUUGUGAUAUUAUAUUCUGUAGACUGAAUAAUUAGGCAAUUGUUGAAAAAAAUAAACAAGGUGAAUUCGUUAACAUGACUAUUUUUGUGAGUAACUAAACAGUGUGCUAUUAUAGUAAACAACAAGGUCCCACCAUGAUAUAGACAUGGAAUUAAGAUCUUGGACAAAAAGAUUCAUUAAAUGAAUCAGUGAUUCAUAUGAUCCGAUUCUUUUCAAAGAAGUGUACUGAAUGAUUAGUAGUUCCUAUGGCUGUGUGAAAAAGUGACUGCUAAAAUGCACAAUCUCUGUCUUAGUCUUCACUUAGCUAGCUAAGUAAUGGAAUGAGCCACCA
ensembl:lncRNA